UAUUGAUUGGUGCUUGCAUCAUGAUUUACAUUUGAGUGAGUGGCGAACUGGUGAGUAACACGUGGGAAACCUGCCCAGAAGCGGGGGAUAACACCUGGAAACAGAUGCUAAUACCGCAUAACAACUUGGACCGCAUGGUCCGAGUUUGAAAGAUGGCUUCGGCUAUCACUUUUGGAUGGUCCCGCGGCGUAUUAGCUAGAUGGUGAGGUAACGGCUCACCAUGGCAAUGAUACGUAGCCGACCUGAGAGGGUAAUCGGCCACAUUGGGACUGAGACACGGCCCAAACUCCUACGGGAGGCAGCAGUAGGGAAUCUUCCACAAUGGACGAAAGUCUGAUGGAGCAACGCCGCGUGAGUGAAGAAGGGUUUCGGCUCGUAAAACUCUGUUGUUAAAGAAGAACAUAUCUGAGAGUAACUGUUCAGGUAUUGACGGUAUUUAACUAGAAAGCCACGGCUAACUACGUGCCAGCAGCCGCGGUAAUACGUAGGUGGCAAGCGUUGUCCGGAUUUAUUGGGCGUAAAGCGAGCGCAGGCGGUUUUUUAAGUCUGAUGUGAAAGCCUUCGGCUCAACCGAAGAAGUGCAUCGGAAACUGGGAAACUUGAGUGCAGAAGAGGACAGUGGAACUCCAUGUGUAGCGGUGAAAUGCGUAGAUAUAUGGAAGAACACCAGUGGCGAAAGGCGGCUGUCUGGUCUGUAACUGACGCUGAGGCUCGAAAGUAUGGGUAGCAACAGGAUUAGAUACCCUGGUAGUCCAUACCGUAAACGAUGAAUGCUAAGUGUUGGAGGGUUUCGCCCUUCAGUGCUGCAGCUACGCAUAGCAUCCGCCUUGGGGAGUACGGCCGCAAGCUGAAACUCAAA
rnacentral:rRNA from 2 species